rnacentral:lncRNA from 10 species
GUCCGCGCGCGCGGGGCGGCCGCGGCGGUGAGCCUGCGCGUCAGGGCCGCCGGCCUCUCCUUGGCUGUUGGAGGUGAUAGGGGUCGAGGGGAGGGAAAAAGGGGCUGGCGUCAGCCGCCCCUGUGAGGUGGCCGUAGCGUGGACGAGUAAGAAGGGUUGAGUAAAGUGGACAAACACCUGGUUAGGAGAAGAGGGCAGGCCCGCAGCCGCCCUCCGGAGGAGGACUCGGGGCCUCGCGGGCGCCGGAGGAGGUUCCUGGGCCUCGGAGGGCCGCCCCGGCGCGCCGCCCCGGCGCGAGCGGGCGCGGGCGGGGGAGGGGAAGUGAGAGGUUGUUUAUGACCGGGGACUAAUCUCCUCCGCGAGUCCCAGCGCUCCCUCUGGGGAGUGCGGUUGAGGGGCUGUCCUCGCACGGAGCCUCGCUCGGCCUCGGGGGAGCCACGAGAGGUGGGAGUUGGACCCGCAGCGGGCCAGGAGCCCUGUCAUUGGAGGACCCGCCAAAAAGGAAGCAAACCCUCUUUUUCUUUAUCCAACCCCAAAUAGCUAGGGCCUAGGGGGAAGACUCACAUAUCGAUAAAUGGUUUGUUGCCCGUUUUAUUCUCUGGGAAAUACAACUGAUCUUACCAAAGAAAUAACCUGUCUCUUGCCGUGUUUACUUAGAGCCAUAGAAUACCUGUUUCAGAGCUGAAGGGGACCUGAGCCCAUGAUAAUCCAUUACCUCGUGAGAAAGCGGAAAAACUGACUUCAGCUUGCCCAGAUGGCGCAGAGAAUGGGUUUCCCGUAACCCCGCCUGUGUCUUUCCUUCAGCCUCGUCCCAAAUGCCGUGGGAGGGAAGGCACUCUCUGUCAAGCUGCUGUCACCUUACCUGAAGUAAGGAGUCCACGCCUGCAUGUCCGAGGAAAACAGUUUUCUCAAACACAUUAGUUGAAAAACUGAAGACGCUGCCUAAAAUACAAGCUGAGUUAGAGACAGCCCUUGUAAGACUAGAACACAUAAAAGCACUGUGGAAGUGGCAACAGGGAAGGUGAGAAGAGGAUUAUCAAAGACAUUGUGAUGAUAGAAUGGACAGGACUUGGUGAACUGAGUUGAUGCAGGCAGAAUCAUGAUAUUGUGUGAUUAAAGCCAUCUUGUGUCAUAUAAGGUCUUGAGCCUACUUGCCUUCAGAUUGGAACUUUACCAUCUGCUCUCCUGGUUCUCAGGCCUUCAGGGGAGUCUAGAACUAUGCCACUGACUCUCCUGGUCUCCAGUUUUUC